rnacentral:rRNA from 2 species
UACGGAGGGUGCAAGCGUUAUCCGGAAUCACUGGGUUUAAAGGGUGCGUAGGCGGUCAGAUAAGUCAGUUGUGAAAUACCCCGGCUUAACCGGCGGAACUGCGAUUGAUACUGUUUGACUUGAAUCAGGUUGAGGUAGGCGGAAUGAGGCAUGUAGCGGUGAAAUGCUUAGAUAUGCCAUAGAACACCGAUUGCGAAGGCAGCUUGCUGGACCUGUAUUGACGCUGAGGCACGAAAGCGUGGGGAGCAAACAGG